AGCUGUUCUUCCCAGUCUAUGCAAAUAGACAUUUUUACUUGGUCUGCUUCAACUUAAAGAAGCAAGCAUUCGAAGUUAUAGACAACAUCCGCCAGGGGAAAAAUGCAGGAAAAUAUUAUGGGCCAAGAAUUAGACUUUUGCGUCGACACUUUGAGAAAUACUUGUUGGAGAACAACUUAAGUUUGUUGGCUAAUUUGGUGAAAAAUUUAAAACCAUCUUACUUGGUAAUGCCUUGGCAAACAAUUCAAAAUGACACGGAUUGUGGAUUGUUUUUGAUGAGGCACAUGGAGACCUACAUGGGGGAUGCGAAGACCUGGACAAGUGAUUUGAAACCCGAAAAUUAUGGACAAACAACACAGUUGGAUAAGAUUCGUGCAAAGUAUUGUCAUGCUAUUUUGGCUUCUCCGUUGAAUGAGAUAAGACAAAAAAAUCCUCGAUGAAGCAAAACUUUUAUACAACAAGAUGGCAUCUGAGAGAGUCAUGAGUAUAGUGAUUGAAGCAAGUAAACGCAAGGGUGCACGUGUCCAUGGGAAAAAGAUGAUCAA